rnacentral:rRNA from 1 species
ACCAGAGACAUAUCACCCUGCAGCUCUCGCCUGUUUCCCCUGAAGCUAAGUAGGGUUGGGCCUGGCUUGAACCUGGGUGGGAGACCUUGUGGGGAAAGCUAAGGUUACUGCUGGAA